rnacentral:rRNA from 1 species
CGGGGGGUGCGAGCGUUGUCCGGAAUCACUGGGCGUAAAGGGCGCGUAGGUGGCCUGAUAAGGGUGUGGUGAAAGUCCGGGGCUCAACCCCGGAUCUGCCGUGCCGACUGUUAGGCUGGAGUACUGUAGGGGCAGGCGGAAUUCCGGGUGUAGCGGUGGAAUGCGUAGAGAUCCGGAGGAAGACCGGUGGCGAAGGCGGCCUGCUGGGCAGUUACUGACACUGAGGCGCGACAGCGUGGGGAGCAAACAGGAUUAGAUACCCUGGUAGUCCACGCCGUAAACGAUGGGUACUAGGUGCCUGGGGGAGCGACCCCUUGGGUGCCGGCGCUAACGCAGGAAGUACCCCGCCUGGGGAGUACGGCCGCAAGGCUG